rnacentral:lncRNA from 1 species
UUUGAUUUACGUCCGAAAAUGACUAAAGAGAAACAAACAAAGCGCAGGGAAUAAUCAGAGUCAUAUAUAAGCCUGAGGGAGUUGGCAUGAAAAUUCUUCUGGUAAACGUAAACUAAUCGCAUAUGCCACAAAAACGAGGGACGACAAAAUGGCCCAUCCCAUCCCCCAACAGGGAAAGUGGGAAACAACGCAUUUCACUAUUGAUAUGCACCAACUUACUCGGGGAAAAGAAAAGGUAUCAUU